GGUGGCGUGGCCUAAUGGUAAGGCGUUGCUUUCCGGUUACAAUUCUGUUUCGCCAGGGGAUUGGCAAAGACUGUGGGUUCGAGUCCCAUCGCCAUCG
rfam:Cladophialophora immunda strain CBS 83496 unplaced genomic scaffold supercont1.7, whole genome shotgun sequence.